CGGUAGCAGACCUCGCCUGUCCUCUAGUAUCCAUGGCAACAGAGGACUCAAGUACAGAGAUGGCCCAGAGAACAUGGAACGGACGAAAGAAGGAUGUGAGGAAGAAGAGGAGAGGAGAUGAGGAGCUAGGGAGGGCAGAGGAUUUCUCUGAGGACGAUGGCAGGCUCUGUCCACCGCCAGCCAAUAGCGGACAGGCUGCUAAGACUGCAGCCAAUAGGCAUACGUGUGUCACUUCAGGGGAGGAGGACCUAUCCCCCCCAUCCAGCCCCCCAGGAGGCCAUUGUAGGAGCAGGAAGGAGGAUAGAGAAAACUCAAACACAGGGUGACACAUGCUCACACACAUGCACACACACACACACGCACACACUCACACACACGCACACCCACAGGAUGACACACAAACACACAUGCACACACACACAAUUGGGAUGUUCUUUCACUCUUCCCCUGCUGGUAACCUUUGAGUCAUGAUCUCCUUCCUGCUCAGACAGGACUUGCCUGGGAGUCAGACAGGAAGUAGAACUCACCGGGACCAGAAGAAGAGAGGCAGGAGGGGGCGGAGCCUGUCAAAGCAACCACAAAAGGGUGAUCGACCAAUCAGGGACCAGGAGGAAGAGAGGAGCGACCGCCAAGAGGAUACAGAAACUCACAACACUGCGAUCUCCAUGGUUACGGUAGAUACAAUGUACUUGAUACAUGCGUUAUAUAUAUAUAUAUAUACAAGGCUGUUAAUUGAUGAUUGAUUGUUGGUGGAUGUCAUCAAAUCCUUCUGUCAGAGAGACCCAAGAAGAGAGAGGGGUGAGGAGAGGAGAAGGAGGCAGACAGGAGUUGGAGGAGAGGAGAGAAGGAUGGGAAGGGGAAGGAGAGGGGAAGGAAAGCAGACGGUGGAGGAAGAGGAGGGGAAGCAGCCGUCUGUGAGGAAGAGGAGGGGACGCGGUGGAAAGGAGGACUUCCUUGUUGGUAAACCUCAGGAUUCUGUUUUGAGAGACAAGAGAUACCAGACCAAAAGAGAGACAGACAGAUUGAACGAAAGACAGAUAGAAAGAGAGACAGACCAAGAGACAAGAAGACAGACAGAUAGAGAUGAAGACAGAUACACAGAGAGAUGGACAGGUAGGGAGACAUGCAGCAAAACAAGCAGACAGACAGAAAGAGAGACGAGCAGAGAGACAUACCGAUACACAGAUAGUGAGACAGAUUGCUCCCUCUUGACCGCUGAAUGGGAGCUGAGUUUGGUCCAAUCAGGGAGCCUUCCUCGGUCAGCUGUCACCACGUCCUCCAGUCAGAGAAGCUAUCCUCGGUCAGCUUUCACCAACACCUCUAAUCAGAGAAGCUUGCGGCAGGCGGCUGCCUUCUGUGGAGGGGCGGGGCCAAACGGGAGCGCUGGGAGCAUGCCCUCCUCUGCUGUCAUGGUAACCAAGGAGCAGCUGAUGCUGGACCUGGUCCAAUCAGAGCCUCCUGAGAGGAACGUGGUUUCCGCUGCGGUAGUGCGUCUGGACCAACAGAGGGCAGCACAGCGAGUCGGGAAGCACCGGCAGGAGGUCGAAAAGAAGAGACGGGAGAAAGAGGAGGAGAAGAGGAGACAGCAAGAGAAGGAGGAGAGAGAUGAGGAGGAGAGAGAGAAGAGAGAGGGGAGGAUGCGUGAGGAGCUUGAAGAGGAGAGGAGACGGAGGGCAGGGGAGAUCAGGUUCAGCUAAACUACUAAUAAAUCAUUGAUCAAACUUCUGCUGUGUUACGAGCAUCGAUGAGUAAAUACGUAAGGGAUAAUGUAUAGAACGCCGGUCAUUAUCGAGAAAAUAAGCCCCGACAGUGCGAACAGGACACCGACGCGCAGCGGAGGUGUCUUGCUUCGCCGUGAAGGGGCUUAUUUUUCGAUAAUGACUGGCAAAGUUCUAUACAUUAUCCCGCUUAUUACACGGCUACUUGCCAAAACGAAACAAUUUAUUUACAAUGUAUUUGUUACCAGCAUUCAUAGUGUUGAUCAGCAGAGAAAUAGUCCGCCCAAGACGUUGACGUCGUCGCUUAGCAACCGACAGCGCUUGGGUUGAUACAUAUCCCACUUAUUACAUUGACAAGUUACCGGACUACGUGCGGAGUGAUACCAAAGGCAAAAAGUCAUUUUGUUUACCUUGACAGCGGUCAUCAUUCAUCCGUUGCCAAUGAAUUAUCCAAAAAUAAUUGACCGCCGGAAGUUGUGAAGUGCCCAUGCAAGUGAACGGAACGUUGAAAAGACCCGUGUAAUAAAUGAAUAUAAUUCAGAAAAAACACAGAACAGCUGUCUGUUCCUAUGGCAAUAUGUUGGGUCAUAGUAUAUUAAUACUAUGUAUAAUAUGUUCUAUAAUCUGUUUUCUCUAGAUUAAAGAGAGAGAGGGAGGAGGAGCAGCAGAGGGUGAACGAGGCAGAGAACAGGGAGAGAGAGAGCCAGGAGCAGGCUAAAGGAGAAUCUGAGAGGAGGCGGGUGGAGGAGAGGAGGAGACACGCAGAGAGACUCCAGAGGAUGAGAGAGGAGGAGGAGAAACGAAGAGCAGGUGAGGAGAACCCAGAAAGUACACAACCUGUAGUUUGUUUACAGGUCAAUAAACUGAGUUGUAGUUUGUUCCCAGGUCAAUAAACGGAAUUGUAGCAAAGAAUGUCUAAUAGGAAGAGAAUU
rnacentral:lncRNA from 1 species